GGGUAUGUUAAUAGCAUACUCAUUUGACGUUAGCUGCAGAAGAAGCACCGGCUAACUCCGUGCCAGCAGCCGCGGUAAUACGGGAGGGUGCGAGCGUUAAUCGGAAUUACUGGGCGUAAAGCGCAUGCAGGUGGUUUGUUAAGUCAGAUGUGAAAGCCCGGGGCUCAACCUCGGAAUUGCAUUUGAAAACUGGCAAACUAGAGUACUGUAGAGGGGGUAGGAAUUUCAGGUGUAGCGGUGAAAUGCGUAGAGAUCUGAAGGAAUACCGGUGGCGAAGGCGGCCCCCUGGACCAGAUAACUGACACUCAGAUGCGAAAGCGUGGGGAGCAAACAGGAUUAGAUACCCUCGGUAG
rnacentral:rRNA from 1 species